CAGCAGCCGCGGUAAUACGUAGGUGGCAAGCGUUGUCCGGAAUUAUUGGGCGUAAAGGGCUCGCAGGCGGUUUCUUAAGUCUGAUGUGAAAGCCCCCGGCUCAACCGGGGAGGGUCAUUGGAAACUGGGAAACUCGAGUGCAGAAGAGGAGAGUGGAAUUCCACGUGUAGCGGUGAAAUGCGUAGAGAUGUGGAGGAACACCAGUGGCGAAGGCGACUCUCUGGUCUGUAACUGACGCUGAGGAGCGAAAGCGUGGGGAGCGAACAGGAUUAGAUACCCGAGUAGUCCCUGUCUCUUAUAC
rnacentral:rRNA from 1 species